CCUCCUUUCUAAGGAAAUCGAAAAAUAUUAAAACAAUUAUUUUCGAUUUAAAAAAAACCGGUAAUGUGACCGUCCUCAUUUCUCUUCUUUUAAUGUCUCUGAGUAAAAAUAAUGUAAGGGGCCGGUAGCUCAGGUGGUUAGAGCGCACCCCUGAUAAGGGUGAGGCCGGAAGUUCGAGUCUUCCUCGGCCCACCAAUAUUAUGGGGGAUUAGCUCAGCUGGGAGAGCGCCUGAUUUGCAUUCAGGAGGCCAGCGGUUCGAUCCCGCUAUCCUCCACCAAAAUUUGAGACAUUUAGCUUUUUUAAAUUGUGAAUAAUUUUAUUAUCAAUAUCUAUAUCCGAUUGUUCGAAUAGAUGAACAAUCAUGAAUGUUCGAAUAGAUGAACAUUCCAACAAAAUUUGAUUCAACGCAGAAUUUUUUCUGUGCAUAAAUCAAGCGUUUAAGGGCGUGUGGCGGAUGCCUUGGCACUGAAAGCCGAUGAAGGACGUGGUAUACUGCGAUAAGUUUCGGGGAGCUGUAUGCAAGUUUUGAUCCGAAGAUGU
rnacentral:misc_RNA from 1 species